UACGGAGGGGGCUAGCGUUGUUCGGAAUUACUGGGCGUAAAGCGCGCGUAGGCGGCUUUGUAAGUCAGAGGUGAAAGCCUGGAGCUCAACUCCAGAACUGCCUUUGAGACUGCAUCGCUAGAAUCAUGGAGAGGUUAGUGGAAUUCCGAGUGUAGAGGUGAAAUUCGUAGAUAUUACGGAAGAACACCAGUGGCGAAGGCGACUAACUGGACAUGUAUUGACGCUGAGGUGCGAAAGCGUGGGGAGCAACAGGAUUAA
rnacentral:rRNA from 1 species